CCCUCCACCAUCCAACCAAGCGCCGAGAUGCGGGAGAGCAGAGCGGUGGUGGUGUCCUGGAAUAUCCUGGCUGAAGACGCGAAGAUAACCGCCGUCUCGUGCGCUGGGGGGUGGAAAGACCGCCGAAAAGUAACCCUGAACAGCCAAGGAUAUAUGCACAUAUACUGUGCCAAAUCGAAGGACUCUGCUCUCCGUCUUUUUCUAUAUAUUUUUUCGUAGACGAUUUAACUUUUUGUUUGGCCAGCAAACGACGCGGGGUGGAAAAGCGCCGGCGGCAAGGAGUUUCCUUCCAUGAAUGAGUGAGUGAAUUUUAGAUGCCGGGGAAAACGCGGAUGUGCUGCAAGCCAACGCGAAAAAAAGGAUGGAAAAUCCACCAAAAAAAAACUAAGUACAGUAAAACUUUCAAUUUUUAUGAGCUAUUAGGGCAGGAAAAACAACUUUUAUUUCCCCGAAAACGAUUUGAUGGACAGUCCAUUAGUAGAGUGUAUUGGAAUUCAAGUGAAACUACGUACGUUUCACUGGAAAAAGAGUUAAGCAUGAUUGAAGUUUCAGCUUUUCGAAUGCUGCAUUAUAGAUGCUUCUUAAUGCCUUAUUUUAGUAUCAUUAUUGUAAUGAUUUCCUUUAUCUCCUUAAAUAUUUAUUUCCCACUAAGUUCAUUCCGCACAAGUACAGUUUGGCCUGUUUAAAAAGUCACUUUCCACUUAAUUUCUUCGCUUUCGUUCCCCCUCUUGGCAUUUCCCCCGAUUUGCAUUUUCCACGCUCUUUAACGCUCAAUUAUAUACAUCGAUUGAAAUGGUUUGCCGAAGGAGAAUUUCAAAUGGCUAUGGAAAUUGGCGACAAGCAGCGCGGCAGGCGAUUAAAAAACAGUUUAUAAAUCAUCGAUGUCAGUGGCAGUUCGUACACUCCUUUUCCCCCUUCGGAUUUUCAUUUUUACUGCGAACAUCUCCUGAAUGGUUAUGUCCUUACAAAUCUGCAUAUGGAUGGCAGAAAAUUACAUACUUAACUGUGGGUUGCCGCAUGCAGUUUCUUAUAAUGGAUUGCAGCUACCCUGCCGGAAGAUCCGAUUCAUUCGGUUCCGUUUCGAUACGACUGCUUUUUCCCCACGGAAAACUCAUUUCAAUCAUUAUUAAAAUUUGCUAUUUACAUUUCUAUUGAAAUGCAUGCAAAUCCGGAAGGGGAAAGCGCAGCUAAGGUACUAAGAAAACAAACCUGAAGAUGGAGUGAAUAGAAUCGGAACUGUUUUUAUUGCCAACGUGAAAAAUUGGGAAAACAUAAAAGUAGCAUAACUUUAACUACCAAGGGUAGUUAACUCGCUACGAUAUCAUUGUCCUGCUCCCAUCUCCCAUUCUAUAUUGUUCCCAGUGCUGGCAAGGAUUCCCCCCCGAAAACACCCAAGUUAAUGUCCUUUGAUCCAUAUGCCGAUCCAUGUGCUUUGUUCGAGCGCAAACUGGAAAUUGAAAUUUGGCAUUCGGGCAAGUAAUAAUAAUAAUGAUGAAAAUAAAAAGAGUCUCGGUAUGCUUUUCAUGCUUAUCUAGGGCAGCGGGUUGUCUUCUUCGCGAGUCCUGUUCUGGAUUCCCUCCAUUGUCUGUCUUACAAAGUUCUGUAAGCAGUUCGAAGCUGGAGUUUUAACUGGGUAUGUGGAGGAAGUGUUGGUAAAGGAUUUCCCCAAUUGAGGAUCAUCUAAGAAAGAAUGUACUUAAGUACAUACAUUAGAAAAGUAUUGGUCUGCAGAGCGAUCUUGUUUUGCCAGGAUUCCCAGUUGAUCCCGUAAGAUCCUUUGACUACGCCACUUGAACUCAGCUUAAACUUCCAUUUAUAAUUAUCCAAUUUUCUCAUAUAGUGAUCCCAUAAUGCUGACUCAUCUCGACACCACUUGAUGCUUCGCACUCUGAACCCGGCGAUGUCAUAACAAGCAUCUAAUUAUACGAAUGACAAAUGAUGCGAGAAAAGUGCAUUUCCCAUCCGGACCUUCUUGAAGAAAACUUUUUGGAAAUUUUGAUGAAUUAACCUUAAUUUCCUGUGUCAGUGGCCGGCGGCGUUUUGAACCCAACACUUUCCAUUUUCUUUAUGCCUCGGGCGGGGGGCUGGAACGAGUUCCUCUCAAUGGAGAAUCCUUUGUCCAAGGAUUUGCACGUGUGCACAAAUUAGCAAAAACUGGUUACAAGGAGUUCGCCUUCUGUUUUCCGAUCGAAAGAAAGCGGAGAAACUGGUUUUUCCAGCGGGGCGCUUUUACACGGCAUUGUUCUAAGAGGAUAAGGUUCGCUAAGCAGGGGGAAAACCAGAUGGUCCAGGAAAAUUAUGAAAAUUCCAUUGUUUUCCUCCGGUUAUUUGUUGGCCUAGCGGGGUGUAUUAGGGGACUUUCCCUCUUUCCUGUUUCUCGAGCAGCUUGAAGUCGGUAAAGUAAUAAUUAAGGAAUUAGUAUAAAGUCGAAGGUACGCUAGUUUUCCCAUUGAAAAACUGGUUGGAAGAUCCAGGAUCGAAAAGCCAGCUUCAACUGGAGUUCCUCCACUCAGAAACUGGAGUUCCUCCACUCAGAAGCUGAAGUUCCUCCACUCAGAAGCUUCCCUAGCAACAAUCCCAGCGAAUGAGUCACUGGGAAUCCCAGAAUUGGAACACGUGGUGCCGAGGAAAUUCCAUCGAAGCAACCGAAUUGAAAUCCCCUUUCCAUUCAACAGGGUUUCGAACAAAGGGAAUUUGAAUAACUUCGCCCAAUGUUGUUCCAGCAUGUAGAGGAAUUAAAAAACGCUUUAAAGAACCCGAAUCACUGUGCCAAAUUUCCACACUGCAAAAAAUGUGUACAAGCCUAAUCAGAUAUUUAUUUAAACAUAACCAUCGAUUGUUUCAGCGAUUGCGUUUGUUAGUCUAAAAUAUUGCAUACUUUUGCUAUUCGUAAGUAUCAAUUUUUUUAUUUAUAUACUA